rnacentral:lncRNA from 1 species
GUUCGAGUUGCGUCACGCCGCCUUCUUCCUCCGUUCCGGUCCCGAUUCAGAUGUCAAAGCAGCGGGGAGUCGAGCCUUGUUCUUUUCCGUCCUCUGCCGCCAUGGUUCUGCCGCCAUCUCCACCGUUUGUGGAAGAUCAGCGAUUCAGCGCCGUUGUUUCGUUCGUGACGCUGCUGCUGUUGUCACGCAAUUUCCGCCGAGGCAGCAGGAGAUGCCGCUGAAAUCUGUCCUCUGCUCAAGAACCGGCUCAAGCCUCACUCUCUCCCUUUUCUAUUGAAUUAUGGUAUUUCUAUAAUUGAUUAUGCAAGAGAUAAAACUAAGUUCGUGGUUUACUAAUGUAUCAGAAAUUUACCUUGCUUGCUCGUGUGAUAGAAAAUAUAGCAUAAACUGAUUUCUGCCUAAAGAUCAUAUGAGUUUGCUAAGUCUCUUUAUGAAUAUACUCAUUGUAUGCUUAGUAUCCUUUAAUCGAUCAUGCUUGUUGGAUGAAAAACGAAUGGAUUGAAUGAGCUGAGCCUAGUGUUUACCUUGUCUAUUUGUGCUUGAUUGGCUGAUCUGUUUUCUUCUUCUUGGUGAAAAUUUGUUGGCAUAUACUGUUUGAAUAAGGAGAUCUCGGAGAUUAUAGAUGUUAUUUCGGGUGUUUUUUUUUUCUGUGUGAAACUUGGUUUUGAUGUUGGCAUGAGCUUGCUGUAAACAUUCUGUUGGAAUAUACGAAUUGGAUUUUCUUAAACAGCUCCACUGGCGAUCUAUUGAGUAAGAAGGGAGAAGGAUUUGGUGGGGAGCAAAAGAUAAUGGAGUUGGUGGUGCACUAGUGUGGUGGGGGAAAAGUAAAGUAGUGGUGGGGAGGUAGGUAUAAUGGGAUUUGGUGGAGUGGAGAAGUGGGGAGUAAAGACGUG